rnacentral:lncRNA from 7 species
AUAAGAGGAGGGUGGUUCUUCCGGAACCCUUUUCUCUGGUUCCCUGUAAUUAAGCAGGCUUAAGUGAUUUCUCCUGUGUGCUGCUGGGUACUGUGAAGGAAACUCAGGCAAGUUCUGAAAGUGCGACAUGAUGAGGAUAUUGUCACUUCCCACAGAGAACACAGUGACAUACAAUGAUGUACUGGUGAGCUUUACUCGGGAAGAAUGGGCUUUGCUGGAUCCUUCCCAGAAGAGUCUCUACAAAGAUGUGAUGCUCGAAACCUAUAGGAACCUCACUGCCAUAGGCUAUAACUGGGAAGAUCACAAUAUUGAGAAAGAUUGUGAAAAUUCUGGAAGUCACAGAAGGCAUCUUCAAAGAGAUGAACCAAUUAAUAUUGGAGAGAAACCCUAUGAAUGUGUUCAAUAUGAUGGAGCUUUUGUAAGAAAUAAACACCAUCAGAUACAUAAAAGCACGCAUACUGGAUCCUUUAUGUCUUAUGCUGAUCUUCGAAUACAUAGAAGAACACACACUGGAGAAAAAGUCUAUGAUGAUAACCAAUGUGGGAAAGCCUUUGCAGGUCACAGCCAUCUUCAGAUCCAUAAAGGAACAUAUACUGGAGAGAAACCCUAUGAAUGUAACCAAUGUGGCAAAGCCUUUGCAUGUCACAGAUAUCUUCAAACACAUAAAAGAACACAUACUGGAGAGAAACCCUAUGAAUGUAACCAAUGUGGCAAAGCCUUUGUGUGUCACACCUAUCUUCAAAUACAUAAAAGAAUACAUACUGGAGAGAAACCCUAUGAAUGUAAUGAAUGUGGCAAAGCCUUUGCACAAUGUAUUCACCUUCAAAGACAUAAAAGAACACAUACUGGAGAGAAACCCUAUGACUGUGACCAAUGUGGCAAAGCCUUUGCACAUCGUAAACAUCUUCAAAUGCAUAAGGGAACAACACAUAAUGGAGAGAAACCCUAUGCAUGUAAUCAAUGUGGUAAGGCCUUUACAUGUCCCAGCUAUCUUCAAAUCCAUAAAAGAAACCAUACUGGAGAGAAACCCUAUGAAUGUGACCAAUGUGGCAAAGCCUAUGCACGACACAGUUACCUUCAAACACAUAAAAGAACACAUACUGGAGAGAAACCCUAUGAAUGUAACCAAUGUGGCAAAGCCUAUGCACGACACAGUGGCCUUCAAACUCAUAAAAGAACACAUACUGGAGAGAAACCCUAUGAAUGUGACCAAUGUGGCAAAGCCUUUGCAUGUCACGGCUAUCUUCAAGAACAUAAAAGAACACACACUGGAGAGAAACCCUAUGAAUGUAGCCAAUGUGGCAAAGCCUUUGCAUGUCACAGUACUCUUCGAAAGCAUAAAAGAUCACAUACUGGAGAGAAACCUUAUGAAUGUCACCAAUGUGGCAAAGCCUAUGCACAACACAGUUACCUUCAAGCACAUAAAAGAACACAUACUGGAGAGAAACUCUAUGAAUGUCACCAAUGUGGCAAAGCCUUUGCACAUCGCAACCAUCUUCAAAUACAUAAAAAAACACAUACUGGAGAGAAACUCUAUGUAUGUAAUCAAUGUGGCAAGGCCUUUGCUUGUCACAGCUAUCUUCAAAAACAUACAAGAA